GUGCAGUGUUGCUCUGUCGAGCUAGGAUUUACCCUGCCGGGGUUAGUCCAGUAUUUUCCUUGUCAGGACGGAGAAAAUUUUUUUUAUUAAAAACAAUGAACUACGCAAAAAGUGAAACGCAAUAAGAUUUCACGCGUCGUUGUAAAUAACUAACCGCAUAAAUUUCAAAACAUAAUUCGAAAUAAUAAUAUUAAUCAAAAUAGAAAAAUAACGUAACAAAAUUAUGUGAUAGAAAGAUUUUAUUUCAUCGAAGUGAUAUGAAAAUUUAAUAAUGUAUAAAUUAUUUAUCCAAGUAUUCAUUACACUGCAGAGGUGACGGUGAAACGAGAAAUUCGGGCUACCCAGAAUAACAUACAGGAUCCUUAGCCAGUGUCUUAAGUUUUGAUGACUUUUUGGACGCGUUAAAAUCAAAUAAAUACCUCAAAGGGUAUUUCAUUAUUUAUUUAUUUAUUUGUUUUUUUUUUUUUGUCAGGUUAAAUGACAUUUAAAUUUAACUAAACUGUCAAAAAUUGUCUUCUAAAUAGAUUUAAUAUUGGAUUCUAUACUUUAAGAAAAGCAUAAAAUAAGUUGAAAAUAAUAUUGAGAAGUUGCUGUAAAAAGUACCAUCAUACAAUCACCAUGCCGCCACAGGAAAAAUUUCAAAACCACGUAUCAGAACGCGUUACAACGAAUGAAGAAACUUGCCCGGAUCUUGUGGAAAAUGGUUGUUCAACAUCUCAAGGAACCAUUUGUCAAACCGCUAAAAUAGCUAAUUCAUCAGUAUCGAUCGGUGGCAAUAAGGAUGGCAAUGUCAAUAAGGAUAUCGACUUUGACGAUUUACUUCCAUACGUUGGAGAAUUUGGACUUUAUCAGAAGAUACUUUUCAUUCUCAUGAUCCCUUUCGCUUUCUUCGUGGCUUGGGUUUACUUUUCUCAAAUUUUCAUCACUUUAAUACCCGAAGAACAUUGGUGUAAAGUUCCAGAAUUGGCGAACUUGUCGGUCGACCAAAGGAUAUCAUUGGCUAUACCUCCGGCCGCGGCUGAUGGAAACGGCGAGGAAUCUUUCACUACGUACUCGAGAUGUUCCGUCUACGCGGUCAAUUUCACCGAACUCUUAGAGCAGGGCGUCACAGCAGCCGAUCCAUCCUGGCCGAUUCAAAAGUGCCAACAUGGCUGGGAAUUCAAUUUUACCGAAAUCCCGUACGCCAGUAUUGCGGCUGAGCUGGAAUGGGUUUGUGACAAUGCAGCUCUGCCAUCUUUAGCACAGAGUAUAUUUUUCGUCGGAGCAAUAUUCGGUGGAUUAAUUUUCGGAUGGAUCGCCGAUAGAUACGGAAGAAUUCCAGCACUAGUCGGUACAAAUCUGGCAGGUUUCAUUGCCGGAAUCGCUACGGUUUUUGCCACUAGCUUCUGGGAGUUUUCGUUAUGCCGUUUUUUAGUUGGCUUGGCUUUCGACAACUGUUUCACGAUGAUGUACAUUUUAGUUCUCGAAUACGUGGGACCUAAAUGGCGAACGUUUGUUGCGAACAUGUCCAUCGCUUUGUUCUUCACCUUUGCCGCAUGCAUUCUACCCUGGAUAGCAUAUUUUCUGGCUGACUGGCGUUUAACUUGUAUCGCAACUUCCGGGCCCUUAAUAUUGGCUAUCGCAACACCGUGGCUAGUUCCGGAAAGUGCGAGGUGGUUAGUCAGUCAGGGCAAGGUAGACAAGGCUGUCUUAAUCAUGAGGAAGUUUGAACGAAUCAAUGGAACAAACGUCCCUGAAAGCAUCUACAAAGAAUUCAAGGACACUUGUGCCAGAAUUCAGAAGGAAGAAGAAACUGACAGAGCUCAUUCUGUGUUGGAUCUUUUCAAGACACCACGAUUACGGAAUAUCACCAUUCUCCUGAUAGUUAUCUGGAUGGCGAUAUCUUUGGUCUUCGAUGGACAUGUUCGGAACGUUGGCAGCUUGGGUUUGAAUGUUUUCAUGACAUUCACCGUAGCUUCCGCCACAGAACUUCCAGCCGACACAUUGCUUACGGUUCUUCUUGACAAAUGGGGUCGUCGAUGGCUAGCCUGCGGUUCAAUGGUGUUUUCCGGAAUUUUCAGCCUAUGGGCUUGCGCUGUUCCAACAGGCAUUUAUUCAGCGAGUCUGGCUAUAAUGGGACGAUUCUGCGUAAACAUAUCUUACAAUAUCGGACUGCAAUAUGCUGCCGAACUUCUGCCUACUGUUGUCAGAGCCCAGGGUGUUGCUCUGAUUCAUAUAAUGGGUUACGUCUCCAGCAUUGUUGCACCCUUCAUCGUUUACAUGGCUGUUUUGUCACCCAUAGUGCCGCUAUUAGUCCUCGGCAUCCUCGCCAUACUUGGCGGAGGACUGGCUCUCUUCUUACCGGAGACUCUCGACAAAGAACUCCCACAGACGCUGCAGGACGGUGAAGAUUUUGGAAAGGAUCAGGGUAUAUGGGACAUGCCUUGCUUGGCAAAGAAAGCUGACGAUGAAGAAGUUCCACCACCUAUGAUUCGUUCUUUGGCUCAUGGAAGUGUUCGAGGUUCCAUGCGAGCAUCACUGCGUGGCGAAACCCUCAGGAGCAGUAUGAUUCAAAGAUCAAGUGUCAGGUCACGUAGGAGCGUCGCUCCAACGGUGCAAGUGGAAAGAUUGUAAAAAAAAAUCGCAUUUCGACCAUUAUCAUACUUCAAACUUUGUUCUUCAUCACGAAAACUUGUAACAAAAUAUGUGCGUACAGGCUGUGCGGGGUAAAUGCAAGAGUGUGCAUACGGACGAAUCACACCUAAUCCCAGUCAGAUCGGGAGAG
rnacentral:misc_RNA from 1 species